AAAAGAGAAAGAGGGUAAACAGCAGUAGAGAAAAGGGAAAGAUGUCGUUACCUUUCUCGGGUCAAAGACUCAGCUGCUGGACUGGAUUCUUCAAUUUCGUCGGAAACCAACCGUAGUCUCAUAGACCAUUCUCACAUAUCUUAAUAGGUCUUAGCAUUCCUCCAAAUUCAGCUAUAAGAAGUCAUGGAUGCACUUCUUGAAUCAAUCUUCUAAACUGAAAUUCAUUUGUUAGUUAGAUGCAGGACCAAAAUGCAAGAUUUGUGAAAGUCAAUUAUUAUUUAUUAGUGUUAACCUUUGGCAAAUUAUGAAACUAAUAUUAUAUUUUUUUCAUAACAAGGCUUUUUUGUAAUAAUUUCUUUGAUCGGAAGAUAUGUAUAUCUGAUUAGGCGUAGCCUCAAAAAUCA